AGUGAACGCUGGCGGUAGGCCUAACACAUGCAAGUCGAACGGCAGCACAGUAAGAGCUUGCUCUUACGGGUGGCGAGUGGCGGACGGGUGAGGAAUACAUCGGAAUCUACUUUUUCGUGGGGGAUAACGUAGGGAAACUUACGCUAAUACCGCAUACGACCUACGGGUGAAGGCAGGGGAUCUUCGGACCUUGCGCGAUUGAAUGAGCCGAUGUCGGAUUAGCUAGUUGGCGGGGUAAAGGCCCACCAAGGCAACGAUCCGUAGCUGGUCUGAGAGGAUGAUCAGCCACACUGGAACUGAGACACGGUCCAGACUCCUACGGGAGGCAGCAGUGGGGAAUAUUGGACAAUGGGCGCAAGCCUGAUCCAGCCAUACCGCGUGGGUGAAGAAGGCCUUCGGGUUGUAAAGCCCUUUUGUUGGGAAAGAAAAGCAGCAGGUUAAUACCCCGCUGUUCUGACGGUACCCAAAGAAUAAGCACCGGCUAACUUCGUG
rnacentral:rRNA from 1 species